rnacentral:misc_RNA from 1 species
GAUGAAGAACGUAGUGAAAUGCGAUAAGUAGUGUGAAUUGCAGAAUUCAGUGAAUCAUCGAAUCUUUGAACGCACAUUGCGCCCCCUGGUAUUCCGGGGGGCAUGCCUGUCCGAGCGUCAUUGCAACCCUCAAGCACGGCUUGUCUAAUGGGCGGUUCGUCUGCGGCCAUCCGCCGGAGACGCCCCCGAAAUGCAGUGGGGAUGUUCGCUAAAUCGCAGCGUCAGGAAUGGAAAUAAACAAUGCUGACGGCUCGAUGUCGAACGUCCACCUAAGGCGUACCGCCCCCCGGGGUGUGCCGCCCAACCUCUCUCGGUUGACCUCGGAUCAGGUAGGGAUACCCGCUGAACUUAAGCAUAUAAUAAGCGGAGGA